CCUCGUCCCCUACGCCUCUCUUUGCCCUUCGCCCCCCGCGAAGCAGCGCGUCGCUCGAUCCCGCGCCCCGCGCCCGCGAUGGUGCACAGCGCGUACGACUCCGUGGAGCUCCUCCGCGGCUGCCCCGCCCGGAUCGACGCCGUCGCCUCCUACGCCUCGAAGCUCCUCCUCGGCUGCUCCGACUCCUCCCUCCGCAUCUACUCCCCCCGCUCCCUCUCCUCCUCCGACGACGCUUCGGCAUCCUCCGCCGCCGCCGCCGCCGAUGCCGCCGCCGCCGAGAUCCGCCGCGACUCCUACGCCCUCGAGCGCGCCAUCCCGGGCUUCUGGAGGCGCCCGCCCCUCGCCAUGGAGGUGUCCGCCUCCCGCGACCUCCUCCUCUCCCUCUCCGAGUGGGUCGCCCUCCACCGCCUCCCCUCCCUUGAGACCCUCGUCGCCGUCGCCAAGACCAAGGGCGCCUCCGUCUACAGCUGGGACGACCGCCGGGGCCUCCUCUGCGUCGGCCGCCAGAAGCGCGUCGCCAUCUACCGCCUCGACGGUGGUCGAGAGUUUGUGGAAGUAAAGGAGUUUAGCGUUCCUGACGUGGUUAAGUCUAUGGCUUGGUGCGGGGAGAACAUAUGUCUGGGGAUUAGAAGGGAAUACAUGAUUAUGAAUAGCUUGACUGGUUCAUUAUCCGAAGUUUUCCCUGCUGGGAGGAUAGCUCCUCCAUUGGUUGUCCCUCUUCCGUCAGGGGAGCUGCUUCUCGGAAAGGACAACAUUGGUGUAUUUGUUGACCAAAAUGGGAAGCUUCUACAAGAUGGCAGGAUAUGUUGGUCCGAGGCUCCUGGAUCUGUUGUCAUCCAUAAACCGUAUGCUAUAGCUCGCCUACCCAGACAUGUCGAGGUACGGUCGCUUAAAGCUCCCAAUCAACUGGUUCAAACAAUUGUUCUCCGUGAUGUUCAUCUGCUUCUUCAAACCAACAAUUGUAUACUCGCUGCAUUAGGCAAUUCUGUUUAUGGUCUAUUGCCUGUCCCUCUUGGCGCGCAGAUAGUACAAUUAACUGCAUCGGGAGAUUUUGAGGAGGCCUUGGCUUUAUGCAAGCUACUUCCACCCGAGGAUUCAACUCUGCGAGCAGCGAAGGAGAGCUCAAUACACAUAAGAUAUGGUCACUUCUUGUUUGACAACGGAAGCUAUGAGGAGUCGAUGGAGCAAUUUUUAGCUUCACAAGUGGAUAUCACUUAUGUUUUAUCGCUAUACCCGUCCAUUAUACUUCCCAAGACGCUUAAUAUUACCGAGGCUGAUAAGCUCCAUGACUUGACAGAUACUUCACAUCUAUCCAGAAUGUCAUCUGAUGCUUCAGAUGAGAUGGAAUCCUCCCUCCCUAUCCAACAUCAGGAAUCUGAUCUUGAAAUGAAGAAAAUGAGUCACAACUCGCUUACGGCUCUUGUAAAGUACUUGCAGAAGAGAAGAUUUAGUAUAAUUGAGAGGGCCACUGCAGAGGUAACUGAGGAGGUUGUCUCAGUUGUACAGGACAGUAUGGCCUUGUCUGAUCCACAUAGACCGAAAACAUCAAACAAGAGGCACAGCCAGAUACAUAUCAGCUCAGUAGCCAGAGAGAUGGCGACUGUACUGGAUACCGCACUUCUUCAAGCCCUGCUUCUUACAGGGCAGACAUCAGGAGCACUUGAGUUACUUAAGGGCCUCAAUUAUUGUGAUUUGAAGAUAUGUGAAGAAUUUUUGAAGGAAAGGAAUUUCUAUAUAGUGUUACUGGAGCUGUACAAGAGUAACGAAUUGCACCGCGAAGCUCUUAAACUUCUGAAUCAACUGGUCGAGGAAUCAAAAUCAGGCCUUGCAAAUUCUGAGCUCAAUCAGAAGUUCAAACCAAAUAUGAUUAUCGAGUAUCUCAGGCCUCUUUGUAGGACCGAUCCUAUGCUUGUUUUAGAAUCCUCCUUGACUGUUCUUGAGAGCUGCCCAACAGAAACGAUUGAACUUUUCCUGUCUGAAAAUGUUCCAGCAGACUUGGUAAAUUCAUAUUUGAAGCAGCAUGCACCAAAUUUGCAGUCUACAUAUCUAGAGCUUAUGCUUUCAAUGAGUGAAAAUGGGAUCAAUCCUAACCUGCAAAAUGAACUGGUGCAAAUAUACCUUUCAGAAGUACUCGAUUGGUACCAGGAUCUCAAGGACGAACAAAAAUGGGACGAGAAAACUUACUCUCAAACCCGUAAGAAGUUAAUAUCUGCAUUAGAGGGUAUUUCGGGUUAUAAUGCUGAGGUCCUGUUAAAGUGUCUCCCACAAGAUGCACUCUUUGAGGAGCGCGCGAUACUACUUGGAAAAUUAAAUCAACACCAUCUUGCUUUAUCUUUGUAUGUUCACAAGCUGCAUUUAUCAGAGCUAGCGGUAGCAUACUGCGAUCGUGUUUACGAAGCAGGAUCAUCACAGCCUCCAAAAUCAAAUGUGAACAUCUAUCUUAUGCUACUACAGAUUUACUUAAAUCCACAAAAGACAAAAAAAGAAUUUGAAAGAAGAACUAUUUCGGUACCUUCCCAAAGCCCUAUAACCCAAAAGGUUGGUUAUACUAAAUUCAAAGGGAGCCGCAAUUCUAAGAAAAUUGUGGAGAUUGAGGGUGCUGAUGACAUGCGCAUUAGCCUCAGCAGCACUGAUAGUGGACGAAGUGAUGGUGAUGGAGAUGAAUAUGCUGAAGGAGGAGGUUCUGCAAUGUUGAAUGAGACACUUGAAUUGUUGAGCCAGCGAUGGGAUAGGAUAAAUGGUGCACAGGCUCUAAAACUAUUACCCAGAGAAACAAAGCUCCAGAAUUUGCUUUCUUUCCUUGAACCACUUCUCAAGAAAUCUAGCGAACAUCGGCGGAAUUAUGCAGUUAUUAAGAACUUGAUAUUCAGGGCGCAUUUGCAGGUAAAGGAAGAUCUUAGUAAAUCCCGACAAACAGUUGUGAAGAUUGAUGGAGAGAGCACCUGUUCUCUGUGCCGUAAGCGGAUAGGUAACAGUGCUUUUGCUGUUUAUCCAAAUGGAAAGACACUUGUGCAUUUUGUCUGCUUUAGAGACUCGCAGCGCAUCAAGGCUGUCCGAGGUGCACCCCCAGUCAAGCGCCUGUAGUUUGCUCCUAACGUGAAAUGCCGAGAAAUAUUAAUUUGUAGUCCAGAUUUGAUGUUAAAAGAAUCCAUGCGGUCCUGAAAAUAGUUGAAACUUUGGCAUAUGGAAGGUGACAGGGUUCAGGGUGUGCGUACCGUUCUUUACAAAUUCAGCCAGUGGGUGAGCUUUUCUUCAUGGCCGGCCGUGAGCUAACAGUGACAUGUACAAAUACAAACUCGUGUUAAAUUAUUUGUAUAAGAGUCCAUGCGAUCGCUACUAUCUGCUAUUCAUGGCGGUAUUCUUGUUCGGCUGCUGUGAUGUCAAUGCACAAGAAGACCUGUCUACACGUAGGCUAAAUUGCUGAUGUCUUCUCGCUAUGAUCGCAGUUUCAGUGAAGUUCUUAUGUUGUUGUGUUUACUACUAUUAUGGGAAUAAAUGAGUUCAAAGGCGCAAGCGGAAGGGUUGCACUCAUUAUCAUGACAUCUUUGCAGAGUUCACAGUUUUUGUAAUUUGAUGUUAACUAGAUUAUGUGCUGUGACAUUUCUUCUUCUUUUUUUACCCCUCUGUUGUGAGCUUGGUGUGUAGCUAAGAGGGAGAAUGUAAGCCAAUAUUUUCUCAUGAAUGUUUGUUUGCAAACUGCUUGUGUCAUUUAUCAGUUCUCCUUGAGAAGGAAAUAAUAAAGUUUGAUUAUUUAUUGGGUUGGAGGAAA